UAAAACUUGAUUUUCUUAGAGUAAAUAGGAAUUUGAGGAUGAUUUUCAUUUAAAGGAACAAUAGUCACCUGAUUAAAUAUUUCUCUAAUCUGCCCAUUGUGACCAUCUCUUCUUCUCUCAUUUUUUUCACGCCCCUCCUCUUCUUUGUCUUCACCAAUCUUAAUCUCGUCAAUCUCACUCAUUUCUUCAUCUUCUUCCCCACUACUUUCUAUCUCAAUAACUUCCUCCUCUAGUUUU
rnacentral:lncRNA from 1 species